rnacentral:misc_RNA from 1 species
GAUGAAGAACGUAGCGAAAUGCGAUACUUGGUGUGAAUUGCAGAAUCCCGUGAACCAUCGAGUCUUUGAACGCAAGUUGCGCCCGAAGCCACUAGGCCGAGGGCACGCCUGCCUGGGCGUCACACGCCGUUGCCCCCCCAUCUACUCCUUCGGGAUUGCGGGGGGGCGGAUGAUGGCCUCCCGUGCGCCUAGCCGCGCGGUUGGCAUAAUACCAAGUCCUCGGCGACGCACGCCACGACAAUCGGUGGUUGCGAAACCUCGGUUGCCCGUCGUGUGCGUUCGUCGCGCAUCGAGGGCUCGAAAAAAUGCUCGGCUCCGGCUGGGCUUUCAACGCGACCCCAGGUCAGGCGGGGUUACCCGCUGAAUUUAAGCAUAUCAAUAAGCGGAGGA